AUAUGGAAUAUAAGAUAAAAUAUAAAUUUUUCUGAUGUAACUUCUCUGUUUAAAAGGUAUGUAUGAGUUUUUAAAAUGUUUUUAUACUAUUAUUUUGAUUAGAUGUAUGAGUAUAGGAAAAUCACUUGAAAUACCUUCUUCGUAUAUUGUUAGUUUUCAGUAUGUCAGAAUGUAAUAGAAAAAUGAAACAGCAUAUAUAUAUAUUUUUUUCCCUCAAGUGAAGGUAUUAGUCAAGCUUAACUUUCAGUCUUUUUAUGAUAUUUUGAUUCUCGGUUCUUUAAAACAUGGUUUAUCAUUAUAAUGUCAGUUUUUAAUCUCUUUCUCCCUCAUUUUUCUCAGACAGAUAUUAGUCAUCCACGUAUAGUCAAAGUGGAACCCAUCUCUGAUAAUGAAGCUUCAAAUAUAAAUGGUUUCGAAAUAAGUGAUUCCUCAAAUGAUGUUUGUACAUCACCAAAUAUUGGUAAUUUAGAAAUAGUGAUUAAACAAGAAAUAGAUGGUGAUUCUUGAGGCUUUGAGAACAUAUAUUACUAAGAUUUUCCAACUAUGCAUGAAAAUAAAUGCAUUUUUCUUCAGUAAUGGACCAACCUGCAUAUUGGACCUAUUUGGACUUUAAAUGCUGUCUUAUUAUUAAUUUUGUAGCUGCUACUUGAAAAUUGUGUGAAAUGUUUGAGCAAAAGUAUUUUAUAAAUAUUAUUUGAUAUUUUAUUUAUAUUUUUAUGAUUUAAUCUAAUCAUGAAAGGUUCCUAACUGCAUUGUAUACAAAAAUUUCAGACUUUCCAACAUUUAUAGUGUAGAACUGAAGAUUAUAUUUGAUGUCAUAAAAUUAUGAUGGCCAUUUUGUCUGGUUAUAUUCCUUUAUUUAAUACUGAAUAGGAUAUUGAAAUGAUAAUGAUUCAGUUUUUGAAAUGAUUUAAGGUUCCCUUGCAGGUGAAAAGUGUGUGUCCUGCUGUUAGGCAUAUAUUCUCAAUACCAUUUACUACUGCAUGGUUUUCCUUCAUAAUGCAUUUCACCUUAAGUGGAUACAUAUAAAGUAUUUUCAGUUUCAAUAUGACUUUGAAAAUAUUUCUUCUGUUAAUAAUUUGAAUGUUAAAUGUAACAGAAUGCAUUUAAAUGUGAAAUGUGUUUACAUAAAAAUUGCACAUGCAUAUCUUUUUUUGGAGAGUAAGUUUCUUUAUGCAUGUGUUUAGAAGAAAUUAUAAAAAAAUAUUUAGGAAAAAUUGCAUUAUUAAAAAAGUAAAUAAAACGUUCAAACGAAAAUUGCAUAAAAGAAGAGUGAACUGUAUUUUUGUCACAGAAUAAGUCAUAUGUACUUAGUCUCGUAUAUGUAUGGUUAGCUUUUCUUCAUUAGUUUUAAUUUUCUUCAGUUUUUACAUGUAUUUUCAGUUAAAAGUGGUAUUCCAUUGAGAAUGUCUAAAGCUUUUCAGCCUCAGAUAUUAAGCAUAAAUGCUAAAAUACGAAAAGCUACUCUAUUUGAGAUGUAUUUGAAACUACUAAAAAUAGUACACAUUUCCUUUACCUAGUCACUAUUAUGUUUGAAUAAGUAAAUUCUUUUUGAUUAAAAAAAAAUCUCACUUUCCUCCUGUCUUAGCAGUUCUUAAAUUCAUACAACAGCAGUAUAUGUGGUUAAGUAAUGAUUUUGUCAAUCUUAGCCUAUACUAUAGUCUAUUACUUUAGAAUAGGCUGUUUUUCUCCUUGCUUCCACCAUGACUCAAAACAAUGGCAGUGACUGCUAGGGAAAAAAGGUCAAAUCCAGUAAUUUAUUAAAAUCCCAUAAGUUCCUGUGUAGAGUGACGAUAAAAAUAUGAUACAUUAUGAUUACAAAUGAAGAGAGGGUUGCUAUGACCUUAAAAUGUUUGUUUUAAAGUAACAAACUAUACUUUAGUAAUUUAAAUUUUGUCUCGCUUAUAAUUUUUUUCACAUGUAAUGUUGGCAGGUCUGGAAUUUGUAAGUCCUACAUUGAAAAUUAAUUUAUUUUGUGAGUUGAAUUCAGGGUCUUAUUUGCUUGUUUCAUUUUCCUUAAUAUUUAAAAAUUGAGGAAAUUAUCAUUUAUCGACAUUUCUCACCGAAUAUCUAUUAUAAAAGACUUGUGAUAAAAUGUUGACAAAAAGAAAGUAUUUUUGAUGCUUAUGCAUUUGAAAUGUAUGUAUUAUUAAUUUUUGUUUAUGAAAUUAAAAAUAUAUUUUACUA